GCCGGGGUGGCGGAAUUGGCAGACGCGCAUGGCUUAGGACCAUGUCUCGUUUAGAGGUGGGAGUUCGACUCUCCCCCUCGGCA
rnacentral:tRNA from 1 species